GUCUAGGGCACGGAGUACUUUAGUUUUUUCCCAACUUUAAUUAUUCGUCUUAUUUAAACUUUUCUUAUAAUUAGUAUUUUUGUUGUUAGAAGAUGAUAAAAUAUAAAUAAUACUUUACUCGUGACUUAUAUACUUAAAUUUUUUUAAAAUUUUUUUAAAUAAGACAAACGGUUAAAGUUGAGCGCGGAAAAUCAUAAUUGCACUUAAA
rfam:Oryza sativa (indica cultivar-group) chromosome 12, whole genome shotgun sequence.